rnacentral:rRNA from 1 species
UACGUAGGGUGCGAGCGUUAAUCGGAAUUACUGGGCGUAAAGCGUGCGCAGGCGGUUUUGUAAGCCAGAUGUGAAAUCCCCGGGCUCAACCUGGGAAUGGCAUUUGGGACUGCAAGGCUUGAGUGCGGCAGAGGAGACUGGAAUUCCUGGUGUAGCAGUGAAAUGCGUAGAGAUCAUGAGGAAGACCAGUGGCGAAGGCGGGUCUCUGGACAGUUCCUGACACUGAGACACGAAGGCCAGGGGAGCAAACGGG